CUUUUUAGGACUGCACCUGUGGCAUCUGGAAGUUCCCAGGCUAGGGGUCUAAUCGGAGUUGUAGCUGCAUCACAGCCACAGCAACGCAGGAUACAAGCCACAUCUGCGACCUACACCACAACUCAUGGCAAUGCUGGAUCCUUAACCCACUGAGGGAGGCUAGGGAUCGAACCAGCAACCUCAUGGUUCCUAGUCGGAUUCAUUUCCGCUGCACCACAACGGGAACUCUGGCCAUGAUGUAUGAUUACUAAACUCAUCUGAUGAGGCAGUUUCUCAUUUUCAAUCCUGAAGUGAACAGCAAGGCUAGAGAAAGUGAGACAAAAAUCACAGGGCCGUGGAAAAGUAACUGGAGGCUGAGAGAGCUGGAUGUGAGCUGUGUUAACAUCCACCAUCCACCACAUUCAUGAUGUGAUUAACAAACACAAGGAUUAUUUUUUUGUGAAAACAGCCCAAGACCGGAGCUUCCCGUGAGAUGACACAAGAACAUAGUAUGUGGGGGCGGGAUCUAAAGGCAGAGAGACUGUGAGGAUGUGAGCUCUGGGGACUCCCAGAAAUCACGGGAAGGGGCUUGGGUUUGGGAGAUCCCACCCACGUAAUUACCCAGCUUCCCAGUGUCACCAUCACUCAGAUUGAGUUUUAUCAUGUUCACAUUUUCGGUAUUCUCAUUUCUCAAAGGGUGUGUGCACUUUUUAAGAUAAUAUCCUUUACUUUGAAAAGUGUAAGCUGGCAAGGAAAAACAGUCUCAGGAAAGAGUUCCCUCAGGCUACUUACUUUCCAUUUUCUCUAUGUGAAAAUUUAAUUUAGCACCCUAUGCUUACUUCCAUUUCUUAAUAUUUCUUAACGUUCCACUGUAGUUAAUAUGCGGCCUCUUGAUUCAUUGGUGGAGGUGGUUUAUUUUUUGUUUUGUUUUGUUUGAACAAACUGAAGCCCGAGCCCUAGCUCUUAGAACUUGGAGUUUGAUGGCAGUAAGUGGCCUCAUAGUGUGGGAGGGAUAGAAGCUUUAUUUGCUUUUGACAAGCUGUGAUUAGCACCCCCCCCCAAAUUCAUUCACUCCAACUGAUUACUUUAUGUAAACCCUGAGGUUAGAGCCCAUUCACUUGGGAUUAAUUAACCAUAUAGAUGAUCAGCUAUUCAUAACUCUUACCCAUUGAUGGGAUUUGAGAAGCACCAUUUGGUUUCCUAUAGGUUAAUUUAAGUCCUUGAUUCUUAAACUCCUUCAUGGUUAGUUUGAAAAUUAAUCAAACUUCAAGGUCAAUUUCCACUUGUCUUUGCUGAUGGGAUAGAUUUUUUAUUACUUAAAGCUGCUCAAAGACCUAAAAAGAGUAGGUGAGUUGAAAAUAACAGUGGUAAUGGAAGCAUAAUUCCUGCAGAAAAAAAGGGUACAGUUGUACAUUUUUGGUUAAAAAAAAAUUAAGGGAAAAAAAAAAACAAAACAGCCAUCAGAGUGAAAUAUUUAAAAAGGAGCCACGCUUGAAUUGGUAGAGUUGUCUGUCAGGUAGAGACUUUGUUUACUUUAUAAGUUCAUAAAUUAGCAUCUGUUCACCCCUAUUUUUCUGUCACGUUCAGUCAAUGCCUCUAAGACAAGGAUCGUUAAGCUUCCACACUGAAUCACAAGACCCAGAGACCUUUGGGGGUGUCUUUCCUUUCUGAAGUCAUUGUCCCCAUGUGCUCCUGGGGGUGGCAAGAAGGGUCUUCUGAGCCUGCCUCCUUUAUCUCACCUUUACCUGUGCAGACAUAAAAUCAUAGUUGCUCCUCUCACAGCCAGGCAGCCAACUUCACUGGUUUCUAACAAAUAUAUUUUCCCAUCUCUAGCAUUUGUCCUCUUUAUUCCUCAGUGCUUUAUAAUAAGUUGACCUCAAGCUGUACUGAUAAUCUGAAUAAAGUAAGUUAGUUUGGCGGUCUUUAAAGCUGAGUUCCAAGUGGCACACGUGUGUGCACAUGUCAUAGCAUCUUGUGGAAAGACAACCUAUAAGCCGAGGAGCAAAGUAUGCAAAUGGGGCAAAAAUUAAACCAAAUCCCAGUACUUUGAUUUCAUUUCCUCUGUACACUGGUUUUUAGCCAGAAUGCUCCCUGAUCCCUGUACACAUAGGUCACGGGGAGAGGAGAAUCCCCUACUUUUGUCCUCUAGAUGGGAUCAAGUGUGCCUGAAUCCUUGGGUGACACAGUUUUACCACUUUUCAUCAUGCCUUUAGUGUUUCAUUCGGUUUACUGAGCACUUACUAUGGCACCAGGGACUUUUGAGGACAGAGCUAAUAUCAAGAAGGUUAAGGGACCUGCCCAAGCAGAGCUGCCAUUCUGUGCAGGAGACAGUUAAAAAGUGUGCAAAUAACCAGCCUGAAAUAGUUAAGCUUAUAAUAAGGAAUAGGAAGGAAAUAAAGAGGGUUCUAAGGUGGAGAACAUAUUGGGUGGGUAGAGGAUCGGUAGAAGCAUCUUUGAAGAGGGGAUAACAAAGCUGAGACUUGAAGGAUUUUCUAAAAAAAGAGCCAGUCACACUAUUCUAAUAAAUUUUAGUAGUAGAACACUUUAAAAAAAUGAAAUUAUUCGUGGGAUAGUCCUCAAGAGCAAGUCAAAUGGACUGCUCUGAUAGAAGCUGGUUAGUAUCAGGGCUCUGCUAACGCGGCCUCUCUCUUAACCAUCCUUCAUUCCCCGGAAGACCUCAGAUAUUCUCAGGGACCUCCUCCUAGGACCAUCAAUAAACAGUCCUCAGCACAUGGUCCCGGGCUCUGCGGAACAGCUUGAAAACCACUGGCCGGUGUGGGGCCAGUGGACCAUUGCUUCACGUGGUCCUGCCCUGUGAGUCAGACAGGAAGAGUUGCGUCAACUGACACGGAUGUCAAACUUUCUCCUGUACAUCCUAAAAUUUCAGAUAUGCAAAGCACCACAAACUGUGUGUCUGCUCUGAUAUUUGUCUCAAGCAUCAGUGAUCUUUACCCUAGCUGGAAGGCUGUGCCCACUCGAAUUCACAUUAGGUCAUUAAUGAGAAUAACAAGUGCCUUUUAGGUGUAUUUAAUGAGCGUUAGCUUUAUUAAAGGCUGAGAGGCCAAGCGUUUCGUCUGGACAUCUCAUCUUGAAAGGACUUCUUUUAUCUCUACUUUUGCCCAUUCACUCCUAUUUUGUACUCUGUGGAGCAAAGAUAGGUGGUUUAUACUUUUGAGUAGUCAACAUGUUUUUUCUCUUCUUUUAAUCCCUUUGAAAUAACUCAAAGAAUGAACUACUUCAAAAAGUAAAGUACUUAAUUUAGCCUGCUUAUUAGCGUUGUUAGCUGAGAAAAUAAUUUAAUCAAAUCAGCCCCACUACAGUGUGGGAAGAGCAUUUGCAUAUGUGAAGUAUCUGCCCUUUAAAUAGUGACCUACAGGACAAACUUCCAGACUUUUCUUAUAUAGUCAAGCUAUAUUUCAUUUGUACUGAAAAAUGUUUAAAGUCAUGAAUGAUUCAAGUCCAUCAACUACAGGAUAGCUAAGGAUACACGAAUUGAAUUUUCUCUUUAGGAUCACUGGAAUUUAAAUAAGACAGAGUGCUUUAGUAAACCUAUUAUAUAAAGAUCAUAAAAGCAUCAUCUUUCAAAUGUCAUAAAGAGCUAAUGUUCCCCUGGUGAAAUCCAAAUAAAUGUAAGCUAUUUCCAGCUUUGAUCUCUGCUUUAAUUUUACUAGAACUCUAUUUUGACAGCCUGUGCCUAGCAUUUUAAGGACCAAGUUGCAAGUCACUAUAUCAAAUGUGCAACAUAAAAGAGAAUGCAAUGAAUUGAAGACUAUCCUACUUGAUAAAUACUCAAGGUCAAGCAGAUUUGGGGAGGGAAAGUGGUCUAGAGUAGGUUGGUAGAGAACAGUAGUGGGGGGGGAAUCCAGAUCUUCAAGAAGGGGGAGAUGCCAGGAGUACAGAUUUAUGCAGCUUCUCUCUUGAUUGCGUCAUGGCUCUCCUAUCCUACUCAGUUAAGUUCAGCAAUUAGAGCAGCCUGAGUGCAUGAGUUCCCAUCCUGACUUCCUCACCAUGUAAAAGUUCUCUGCCUUAGGGAAAUGUUCUAAGUGUAUUCAAGCCUCCUUUUUUACCGUCUGUAAAAUAGGAUUUUUGUGAGAUUUAAAUGAUGUAAUUCUACAUAAAGCACCUAACAUCACAUAAUAAACUAUCUUAAUAAGCGCCUUCUAUUACUAUAAAACAAACAAUUGCUGAGAGUUCUCAUAUGACGACCACUAAGAGAGUUUCUAAAGAAAAAAAUACAGGUAAAGAAGUCUACAUUUUCAAGGGUUAAUAGCUUUGAACAUCUGGGCCAAUACAUAGCAGGGUGAGCUAACAGAGAUACUCGGAUCUGUGCCAAAACCCUGUUGGGAGACGCAGGCCCUAUCCCCGUGCAAGACUCCAGACCAGACCCCCUGGGUUCACUGUCACUGACAGGUUCCUACCACCCUGUCCCAUGCUUUUUUGAUCAGAGAGGACCUAGCAGCUGAAUAGCAGCUGGACUGGAAAGCAUUCUCCUCCCUGUCGGGUAGACGGCUGUUCUUUUCCCCUGCAGUUUACUCUUCUCUAGACAUACAGAAACUUUCCUGGGGUGGAAGCUCAUAGGAAAGUGAAUUGAGCACUUUUUUCUCCAACUUUCCUUUAGCUCUUAUUUCAACUUUCUGAAAAAAGAGCCCAACAGAAUUUUUUACUGCCUUUUUAUAGGUACAGACUCAGCUCAGUCCUCAAAAGGUUUUAACAAGUUUGAUUAAGCAAAUGCGAGGGGACUGAGAGGCAGCCUGCCAUCCCUUCCCUUUACCACGACACUGCCAGGUAAACCAGGAGUGCCUGCAGCCCCUCCCGAGGUGCCCACUCUCUUGAUCUGUGCCCUCCUGCCCCUGCAGGCUGCUGGAACUCACCCACACCUGGCCUCGAGCAGCUUUUCCUUGCUUCUCCGUGCCAGUGCAGAUGCAGAAAUCACCCCUUCCCUCUGUUUCCUCAAAAAAUUACUCACCCAAGAUAUUUUGGGUAUAGCAGAUUUUACUGAAGAUUUAGGAUACAAAUGUGGUUUGUGUUACAGAAAUGCAAAAAAAGCCUGAAAUUGAUGACUAGUCUUUCCAUUUAAAAAAUAUUUCUUGGUCCUUUACAUAAAAUGAGCGCUGGGCUGUGGACAUAUUAGUAGGUCUCUCUCCUCUCCCUCCUCCUUUUUCUUCUCUCCUCUUAUUUCCUAAACCUAAAAAGAUAGAGACUCCUCGUGCCACAUAUUAAUCCGACAGACAGGACUUUCUCACAUCCUACCACGCACACCCUACCAAAGUAGUCUUUGGUCUUUUGAAUAUUCAAGCCUCCAAAUGAGAUCUGCUAACAAUAGGCCAUUUACACUAGGUGGGAAGACAGUAAUAGAAAGAUUUCUUCUCUCUCUUCUGAUAUGAAUUGUGCCAUCUUUCCCUUGGAAAGUAGAACCAUCUCUUGUCAGCUUAGGUUUUUAGUAAGGUUACCCACUUCUCUUUUUACCACUUAGUAUCGAGUCACUGUUGUUUGAAUCUAAUCUUGAGCCUCAAGAAAGGAACUUUAUUUACGGAUUUUACAGUUGGUUUUCUUUGAUGUAGGGUCCUUAAAAAAACCCACUAUGUUUACUCUCAAGUUAGUAUGAUCCCAGAGCAAUGUUCUUUUUUAGUAGACAUGCUAGAGUUAGAUUUUAGGUCUCUACACACUGGGCAUCUGACCUUGGAUAAACUGCUCAUCCUCCAGGAUGAUGGGGUUGUCAUCAGGAUUAAAAGAGGGAACAGCCAGGUGGUUUAGAUGCUCAGCACAUGAGCGGAUGAGUUAUAUGCAGGUCUUCAGAGCUGUGAUCUAAAUUAUGCUGUGGCGUAGCCUAGCUGCUACUUUCGGUGCCCAUGAGCCUCCAAAGCACCAAGAGCUACGCCAGCAGCCUCCAUAUUAGCAGAAGAGCCUUAGAAAUCUGGAAAAUGACUCACACUCAUUCAGCAAAAUCCCCACUCCUUUAUACCAAAAAAAGGUGUCAUUAAGUGGGGCAUUAACUUCACCCAGGAGUAGGAUCGUUCUUCAACAAGUUUCUUUCACUCCUGGACUUCAGAAUAAUUAAUUGUCUGACUUGUUCCCCUUGACUCAUUUCCUCAGAAACCAACAAACAAAAACGAAGACUUCCCAACCACCCUUACCACACCUACCUCACAGCAAGAUGUCGAGACCUUUUCAAAGGCAUCAUUUCCCAUUUGACCAUUGUUCCCACUCUCCCGGGGAUAAACUCCUCCUCCUCACCAACCCCCACCUCAAAUUGAGGGGGCCUCUUAUUCUAAGGCACACCCAAAGGAACCCUGGGAGGCUGGUCUUCAGUACUCAGGGAGCACAUGCCACGUAGGGACAAACGCCCUAUUAGAUCGGAGCUCGGAAUCCCUGAUCUAGCUAAACAGAAUUAUAUAAUCUUUCAUUAAUUUACCAGGAAGAUGUAUCAGCAGAGCUCAUUAAUUUCUAAAAUUAAAUUCACAGGGGAACAAAUUUAAGGCACAGUUGUUCAUGAAUUUCUAAUGGCCUCUGUUAGCUUAGGAUCAAGUGGCAAGUCAGCAUCUUUAUAGGAACAACAAGAUUGGGAUAUGAUUCCCAAUGAAAUCCAAGUAGAAAUUGCCAACAUAGAAAUCUGUGAGUAUGAGGACUAUCACUCUUUAUUCUUCUCCAUAGGAGACUGACAAACUCUUGACAUAAAACCUGCACACAUG
rnacentral:lncRNA from 1 species